CCACUGAUAGACCUUGGACAAUUUGCUCUUGUUCUUUUGGUUUACACUAGAUUCUUUUCUGUCUUUGGGGCAGUCCAGAUUCAACUGGGGAAUAUGUGU
rfam:Ictidomys tridecemlineatus contig091410, whole genome shotgun sequence.